rnacentral:lncRNA from 1 species
UCCGGAGUUGUGGCCGAAUUCGCUAGUUUCAGGAUUUGUUAGGCUAGGAUUGAUGUAUAGUGUCGUGUUAGCUUUGUGUUGUUGAGAAAAUUCGGAGUAGUGCCAAUUUAUGUCGUACCUUUCGGUGGUAUCUAAUAUUAAUUAGCCCCCUCCUUGGCGGGACGUCCCUGACUUUCGGGACGGUGGCUCCGCCGCGGUCGAGGUUGGCAAACCGACCUGCUCUCUCCGGUGGUUAGUCUGGUUUUGCUGGUGAUCCGUGGUACGUGAUAGCGUCAAGUUCCGUUGCGUUCCCGUUUGGUGCGAAAAAGUGGCCUAAAGUGAUCCAAAGUGGCCACCCGCAGGGGGUCCGGAAGUGUUCCCGAGUGUUUCGGCUGAGACCCACAUCCGGCUUGGUUUGAGGUGUACCGUUACUCCGAAGCAGCCGGGUUGGAAAAGUGUUGGAAAAAUCGUUUCACUUUGGCCUGAACCCAGUUCUCGUCGGAAGGUUGCGGAAAAGUUUCCCCCUCCACCCGUUUGUGUGUGUGUUUCGUUUGGUGUACCAGGAAGGAAGGAAGACUCAACGAGGAAAAUCCUGAAAAUUCUCUCGCGAGCGUACGCUCUCUCGGAACCACCCUCGCGCUCCGCAACGGAAACUACCCCCGCGUUUGUAGGAGCGUCGCGACGCUCGUUUCUCUCUCGCUCGGCACAAUAGCCAGUGCAAGUGUUGGUGUCAAUAGCAAGCUCUUUUUGUGUGAAGGCAUUUUCGGUGUUUAUUGUUGUUCGCUCUUUCUCUCCGCAUCCUGAUUUCGCGUAAUCCAAGUGUGGCUGUGUGGGUGUGUGUGUGUGCACAUUUUAUUGAUGUUUGACGAGUGGAAAAUCUCAGCUGGUGCCGUCGCCGUGUCAGGAAAAACCAAAAGGAUUCGCUGAACAAAACACAAACCUCCAGACACGUGGUACGCGGUAUUGCUGCUGCUAAUUGCAAGGCCGUCUCUGACCUGGAACGGGAAUCGAACCUGGAGCCCGAGAAUCAGCGGAGCAAAUCCAAUUAAGACUGACGCGCCCAGUGAGUGUUAUUUAAUUCCAAACGGAUCGGAAUAUCUACGGUUAGCGCUGUGAAGAGUGAUUACUGGAAUUGUGUAUUCUGUGAACAAACUUGGUGGGGUAGUCAUGAAGACCAGAACUGUCUGUUGGAUGCUGGUGCUGGUGAUCGUGGAAGGAUGGUCAUGGGUGUCUGCCAGGGACACCGUCACGGAGGAGCUUUCACC